AGAAGCCAUAAUGUUAAUAUGAGUAACAAGAAGAUUCUUCUCCCUGCAUGCGUGUAUAUCAGAACGAAUUAACGCACUGAUAGUUAACAAAUAUAAACAUAAUUUAACUGACUAAAAUUUUAACAUAAUUGUUAGUCCAACACAGGUAUGCAACUAAGGAAAGAUUAAAAGAAGUAAAAGGAACUCGGC
rnacentral:rRNA from 1 species